CAGGACGAACGCUGGCGGCGUGCCUAACACAUGCAAGUCGAACGAAGCUCCUGCGUUGAUCUUCGGAUGAAACAAGGGAAGACUUAGUGGCGGACGGGUGAGUAACGCGUGAGCAACCUGCCUUUCAGAGGGGGAUAACAGUUGGAAACGACUGCUAAUACCGCAUAACGUAUUGAUGUCGCAUGGCAUUGAUACCAAAGCUGAGGCGCUGAGAGAUGGGCUCGCGUCCGAUUAGAUAGUUGGUGGGGUAACGGCCUACCAAGUCGACGAUCGGUAGCCGGACUGAGAGGUUGAACGGCCACAUUGGGACUGAGACACGGCCCAGACUCCUACGGGAGGCAGCAGUGGGGGAUAUUGCACAAUGGGCGAAAGCCUGAUGCAGCAACGCCGCGUGAGGGAAGACGGUUUUCGGAUUGUAAACCUCUGUCUUUGGUGAAGAAGGAAGUGACGGUAGCCAAGGAGGAAGCCACGGCUAACUACGUGCCAGCAGCUGC
rnacentral:rRNA from 1 species